rnacentral:rRNA from 1 species
AUUGAACGCUGGCGGCAGGCCUAACACAUGCAAGUCGAACGGUAACAGGCAGAUGCUUGCUUCUUUGCUGAUGAGUGGCGGACGGGUGAGUAAUGUCUGGGAAACUGCCUGAUGGAGGGGGAUAACUACUGGAAACGGUAGCUAAUACCGCAUAACGUCGCAAGACCAAAGAGGGGGACCUUCGGGCCUCUUGCCAUCGGAUGUGCCCAGAUGGGAUUAGCUAGUAGGUGGGGUAACGGCUCACCUAGGCGACGAUCCCUAGCUGGUCUGAGAGGAUGACCAGCCACACUGGAACUGAGACACGGUCCAGACUCCUACGGGAGGCAGCAGUGGGGAAUAUUGCACAAUGGGCGCAAGCCUGAUGCAGCCAUGCCGCGUGUAUGAAGAAGGCCUUCGGGUUGUAAAGUACUUUCAGCGGGGAGGAAGGGAGUAAAGUUAAUACCUUUACUCAUUGACGUUACCCGCAGAAGAAGCACCGGCUAACUCCGUG